ACGCUGGCGGCGUGCUUAACACAUGCAAGUCGAACGAAACACCUUAUUUGAUUUUCUUCGGAACUGAAGAUUUGGUGAUUGAGUGGCGGACGGGUGAGUAACGCGUGGGUAACCUGCCCUGUACAGGGGGAUAACAGUCAGAAAUGACUGCUAAUACCGCAUAAGCGCACAGAGCUGCAUGGCUCGGUGUGAAAAACUCCGGUGGUAUAAGAUGGACCCGCGUUGGAUUAGCUGGUUGGUGGGGUAACGGCCCACCAAGGCGACGAUCCAUAGCCGGCCUGAGAGGGUGAACGGCCACAUUGGGACUGAGACACGGCCCAGACUCCUACGGGAGGCAGCAGUGGGGAAUAUUGCACAAUGGGGGAAACCCUGAUGCAGCGACGCCGCGUGAAGGAAGAAGUAUCUCNGGUAUGUAANACUUCUAUCAGCAGGGGAAGAUAGUGACGGUACCUGACUAAGAAGCCCCGGCUAACUACGUGCCAGCAGCCGCGGUAAUACGUAGGGGGCAAGCGUUAUCCGGAUUUACUGGGUGUAAAGGGAGCGUAGACGGUGUGGCAAGUCUGAUGUGAAAGGCAUGGG
rnacentral:rRNA from 1 species